rnacentral:rRNA from 1 species
UGGGGAAUAUUGGACAAUGGGCGCAAGCCUGAUCCAGCCAUGCCGCGUGAGUGAUGAAGGCCUUAGGGUUGUAAAGCUCUUUUACCAGGGAUGAUAAUGACAGUACCUGGAGAAUAAGCUCCGGCUAAGUCCGUGCCAGCAGCCGCGGAAAUACGGAGGGUGUCUGCGUUGUUCGGAAUUACUGGGCGUAAAGCGCGCGUAGGCGGCCAUUCAAGUCAGAGGUGAAAGCCCGGGGCUCAACUCCGGAACUGCCUUUGAAACUAGAUGGCUAGAAUCCAGGAGAGGUGAGUGGAAUUCCGAGUGUAGAGGUGAAAUUCGUAGAUAUUCGGAAGAACACCAGUGGCGAAGGCGACUCACUGGACUGGUAUUGACGCUGAGGUGCGAAAGCGUGGGGAGCAAACAGGAUUAGAUACCCCGGUAGUCC